UACGAGUGGUGCAAGCGUUAUUCGGAAUCAUUGGGCGUAAAGGGUGUGUAGGCGAUAAUCCAAGUCUAUUGUUAAAUGCCUCAGCCUAACUGAGGACAUGCAAUAGAAACUGUAUUGUUAGAGGAUGGAAGAGAGAAGUGGAAUUCUCGGAGUAGCGGUAAAAUGCGUAGAUCUCGAGAGGAACACCGAUGGCGAAGGCAGCUUCUUAGUCCAUUCCUGACGCUGAUACACGAAAGCGUGGGGAG
rnacentral:rRNA from 1 species